rnacentral:rRNA from 1 species
AAAUUGAAGAGUUUGAUCAUGGCUCAGAUUGAACGCUGGCGGCAGGCCUAACACAUGCAAGUCGAACGGUAACAGAAAGCAGCUUGCUGCUUUGCUGACGAGUGGCGGACGGGUGAGUAAUGUCUGGGAAACUGCCCGAUGGAGGGGGAUAACUACUGGAAACGGUAGCUAAUACCGCAUAACGUCGCAAGACCAAAGAGGGGGACCUUCGGGCCUCUUGCCAUCGGAUGUGCCCAGAUGGGAUUAGCUAGUAGGUGGGGUAAAGGCUCACCUAGGCGACGAUCCCUAGCUGGUCUGAGAGGAUGACCAGCCACACUGGAACUGAGACACGGUCCAG